GGGGUUGUAGCUUAGUGGUAGAGUGCUUACCUUGCACGUAUGAGGCACUGGGUUCAAUCCUUAACACCA
rnacentral:tRNA from 1 species